rnacentral:piRNA from 1 species
UGAAUCCAAUCAAUUUUUUGG